rnacentral:rRNA from 1 species
UACGGGGGGGGCAAGCGUUGUUCGGAAUUACUGGGCGUAAAGGGCUCGUAGGCGGCCAACUAAGUCAUACGUGAAAUCCCUCGGCUUAACCGGGGAACUGCGUCUGAUACUGGAUGGCUUGAGAUUGGGAGAGGGAUGCGGAAUUCCAGGUGUAGCGGUGAAAUGCGUAGAUAUCGAGAGGAACACCUGCGGCGAAGGCGGGUUGCUGGGCCGACACUGACGCUGAUGCGCGAAAGCCAGGGGAGCGAACGGG